CCCUUAGAUGUUCUGGGCCGCACGCGCGCUACACUGAAUGGAUCAACGUGUUUUCCCUUCCCGAGAGGGACGGGUAACCCGCUGAACCCCAUUCGUGGUAGGGAUCGGAGCUUGCAAUUGUUCUCCGUGAACCAGGAAUUCCCAGUAAGCGCAAGUCAUAAGCUUGCGUUGAUUACGUCCCUGCCCUUUGUACACACCGCCCGUCGCACCUACCGAUUGAAUGGUCCGGUGAAAUCUCCGGACUGGCGUGAGUCGGAGCAAUCUGACAAACGCCGGAAAGUUGAUUAAACCUUACCAUUUAGAGGAAGGUGAAGUCGUANCA
rnacentral:rRNA from 1 species